GGCCGGGUCACCGGACACAUUUUUCAAACUACUAACCCAAAAGAUGAUUGUGGCCAAGUUUGGAUUAAUUUGGCCCAGUAGUUUCAGAGGAGAAGAUUUUUGUAAAAGAUUACUAAGAUUUACGAAAAAUGGUUAAAAAUUGACUAUAGAGGGCAAUAACUCCUAAAGGGGUCAACUGACCAUUUCAGUCAUGUUGACUUAUUUGUAAAUCUUACUUUGGUGAACAUUAUUGCUGUUUACAGUUUAUCUCUGUCUAUAAUAAUAUUCAUGAUAAUAACCAAAAAAAGAAAAAUUUCCUUAAAAUUACUAAUUCAGGGCCAGCAACCCAACAACGGGUUGUCCGAUUCAUCUGAACAUUUGAGGGCAGAUAGAUCUUGAACUGAUAAACAAUUUUACCCCAUGUCAGAUUUGUUCUAAAUGCUUCGAGUUUUGAG
rnacentral:lncRNA from 1 species